rnacentral:rRNA from 1 species
UACGUAGGGGGCUAGCGUUGUUCGGAAUCACUGGGCGUAAAGGGCGCGUAGGCGGCGCGGUAAGUCAGAUGUGAAAUCCCGGGGCUCAACCCCGGAACUGCAUCCGAUACUGCCGUGCUAGAGGAUUGGAGAGGUAGCUGGAAUUCUUGGUGUAGCAGUGAAAUGCGUGGAGAUCAAGAGGAACACUCGUGGCGAAAGCGAGCUACUGGACAAUAUCUGACGCUGAGGCUCGAAGGCCAGGGUAGCGAAAGGG